rnacentral:rRNA from 1 species
UCACGAAAGUGGAUUGUACUAGAAGUCUGCAGGCUGACCCGCAAGGGAGGCAGCGGCCCAAGGCAUGAUCCAUGAUUGGGGUG